UACGAAGGGGGCUAGCGUUGUUCGGAAUUACUGGGCGUAAAGAGCGCGUAGGCGGCUUGCCAAGUUGGGGGUGAAAUCCCGGAGCUCAACUCCGGAACUGCCUUCAAAACUGGCAAGCUCGAGUCCGGAAGAGGGGCGUGGAAUUCCCAGUGUAGAGGUGAAAUUCGUAGAUAUUGGGAAGAACACCGGUGGCGAAGGCGGCGCCCUGGUCCGGUACUGACGCUGAGGCGCGAAAGCGUGGGGAGCAAACAGG
rnacentral:rRNA from 1 species